CGCACUGACCCCUCCGCCCCAGCCGGAGAGCAGGGCACUGGGCAGCUAGCAGAUGGCCUGGCCGUUUCUGGUUCAGUUGGCCAGGAGUUUGGUGUCACUUUUUAAACUUUUAAUUUUAAAAGUCAAAAUAAUGCAUGUGUCGACUGAAAAAGUAAUGCACAACCUAGAGGUUGAGAAUUAUGUUUUAUUCAGCGGACUUUCUGAGGACUCCCGCCCCAGAAGACAGCCUCUCAGAUGGCCCUGAGGGACUGCUCCGAAGAGAAAAAGUUUGCAGAGCCUUGCCCUGGAGGAUGGUGUGGACACAAGAUGGAGAGAACCAGUGUCUCUGAAUCCUUAAGUGGAGGAAAUUUGUUUGCCAGCCAGGAACACCCACUCACCCUGGACUCUUAGAGGAAUAACAGGAAGGCGCCUCAGAAGAAGGAAAGAGGCAGGACCGUAAUGACCAGCCCCACCAAGGUCGGCAGAAACUGUAAGACGACCCACUGAGACCCUGGGUGGGGUUGCCCGAGAGCAGGAAAGCCCGAAAGCCCUGGCUGCCUCCUCGCCUCACCUCCUGGUCCAGCCUCCCUUGUGUGGCCUCAUCUCCUGACACGCACCUCGUGAGCCUGCGCAGGUGCGUCUUGGCAAAUCCCAGGGAAGAGCAUUCCUGGCCCCUGCCCUGGGGCAACUCACAGUCUGGUUGGGAGGACUGUGGCCCGGGCAAAAAGAACAGUUCCAUAGGCUGUGGCCCUGAUUUGGAGCCCCCUGUGCGCCGAGAAAAGGCAGCUCUAGGCGGCUCGGGCCCCAGGGGUGACUUCCUGGAGGAGAUGGUGUUUGCACCGACUUGUGAGACUUUGGCAGACGCUGAGGCCAGAACCCAAUCCUGAAAAGAGAUUCAUCAAAACCUGGCAAAACUACCCAAAGCCUCUUCUGGAUAUGACUUUACUUCAGACACAAUAUUUUGAUCGUUUCCACAUAAGAUGAAUCAGAAACAUAUGCAUUAAUUUCCUCUUAAAAAUAUACACUUGUUGUACUUGGCAAAAUGCAGUGUGGGAUUUGAUGAACGUAAGGCAACCGAAGAAUUGUAUGGGAUCCAAGGCUGGGAGGUCUCAGAAGCCAGAGCACCUUUCGGCCUGUUUCUGGAGGCUGCUUCUCCCACUCACAGGCAGGGGCCUCAGCAGCCAGAAGUUGAAGUCCAAAGUCAGGCCAGAUCUCAAUGCACUCCUUCUGCAGAGGGUCUGACACCAGCUGGCCCCAUCCUGGAGCUGAUUUCUUGAAAAAAUGCGACAAGCCAGAUAACGCCUUCAUCUCGAAACAACUUCUUAUCCCUCGGAGAGAAGCUUUCCUGUCCAAGUUUACCAGGACGUGUUUGCAGUGCUGCAAUUUUAAUGAAGGAAGCUUUCGGUCUUCUCACUUUCUCACUCUGAUGAAUCAAGCCUUACGGAGAAGCUCACAUGGCAAGGAACCAAGUGUGGCCUCUGGCCAACAGCCAGCCAGAAACCGAGGUCCUCGGUCCAACAGCCCGUGGGAAACUGAAUUCUGCCAAUGACGACAUGAAGGAGCUUGGAAUUGAGUCCUCUCCCAGCUGAACCCUCAGGUAAGACUGCAGCCCAGCCAACUUCUUGGUUGCAGCCUCAUGAGAGUCCUUGAGCUGGAGGACCCCGUUAAGCUGUGCCUGGAUUCCUGACCCAGAGGAACUCUUAGUUAAUGAAUGUUUCUUUAAAGUUGUGGCUCUAAGCUAUGCCUAAAUUUGGGGGUAAUUUGUCACAUGCUGAUAGAUAAUGGAUACAGUGAGCUUUAGACUCUACAAGGCUUCUGGGCCAAGGACCUCCAGGCUGCCUAGGAGGCAGACUCUCCUUGCUCUGUCUCUGCAUUUCUCACCCUUGCGCCAUCUCAUAGGGAGAAAGGCUCUACCUCACCUAACCUGGGAAGUGGGGCUGGGAGAGAAACCUUCAUCAUUUCCUGCCUGAGCCAGGGCAUGGGAGUCAGUCCAGGGAGGAUAUCCCCUCCAUCCUUCCCUCUCUUGCCACCCAUCCAAACACACUUUUCCUCUUCUAUUGCUCUCAGGAGAAAAAGGCAGGGUAAGGGGGUAUUCUUUGUGCUAUACCUCGGAGCCUCCAAUAGAAAGGAGGUUUUUAUUUAGAAGAAAAAUGUUUUGCUAGAGGUUUAAUAAUUAAGGAAUGAGCUGCAGAUCUGGAGGAGGUAAAGAAGCUACCUGUCCCAAGGCAAACAAGAAUGGCGUCCAUUGGCAGUGGAGACUCCCAUGGGGAGCAAAGGUGGGGUGACGCCAUUAGACCGUUCACCUGAACAUGCAGGGAAGAGCUUUUGACAAGAAUCCUGCCAAUUUGUCUCCUGUUCUUCUCUAUGAGUCAGGAGUAGAUGGUUGACCGAGAACUUACGUAACAGUUCAAAACAACUCUCCAGUGGAAUUUAGGGGCUGCCCUAUUUCUUCACCUUUUUUUACCUGUAGCACUGAAUGCUUAUAGAUCAAUCCAGUCCCCAAGCAUCUCAACAGACGGGGGAUGGAAAAAUUCAACAAGUGUCUCAGCAACAUCUCCUUAGCUCACAAAUAGGAAGAACGAGGUAUGAUUUUCCCGGAAGAUGUUAUUUUCCUGGAAACUUUACAAGCCAAGUGAUUUAAGAUUUUCAUGCAUUCUCCUUCCUUCCACUAAUGUUUCCUGUGCCUCUUGCAUAUCAGGUCCUGGGCUAAGGGCUGAGGUUACAAAGAUAGAUACUGUUCCUGUCUUCACUGGUUUAAAAGCCAGUGAAAAAAAUACAUAAAUAUAGCCCUUCAAGUGAAUGAAAAAAUGUUGGUGAAUUGAUUAUCAAAUUAAAAAAAAAGAAGAAUGGAAGGAAUAAACAAAAAUUAUUUUAUAUUAAGAGGAUUUUAUUUUUUCCUCUUUGCCAUUUUGGAGGAGACCUGACGAAGAUUGGCUUCUCAAGUAUCCAGGCUCUUGUCACUUGUCGUGGUCAGGAUGGCUGGCAUGUGAUUCCAAGGGGCAGCUGUCUGUCAGCAACUGGAGCGCACACCUGCACGAACACAUACACCUAAACACACAGACUGCUGGGCUCAGGUCCGCCAAAGAUGCUUAUCUAUUAAUAUCUUGGAGGAGCAGGGCCUUUCUGUUGCCUCAGAGGCUUGUAGCUUAGGAUGAAAACUCUGGGCUCCUAUCUUGUGCCAAUUACGGUCCCUCUCUUUAACCCCAGUCCUUUGGAAAGACCUGCUCCCUCGGAGCGGAUUUUCAAGUACUGGGGAUGCUUGAUAAAUGGCCCUUAAUAUUGAACUCAGGUGCCUGCCAAAAAGUAUCUUGGCAAAGAAUUAGCAGUGAAAUGAAUGGAGUCGCUUCCAAAGGAGCUGAGUGUGCACACUUGCCUCAUUUUCAGCAACUCGUUGAAGAGUUAUAGGGAUGCAGUACAGGGCAGGCAGGUGGUUUUGGGGAAGGAGCCCACAUUCCGGCCCUAGUUCCCCCACCCAUUCUCACAGCCUAACCUCGUAGGAAACCCGUUCCCAUUCGCAGUCUCAUUUUUCUUAUCUGUAAAAUAAAGGAUUUGAACUUCGGGCAACUCAGUCUCAGAAACUAAAGUUUUC